GGAAUCGAUAGCACGGGCGGCGUGUUGGCACAGCGAGGAUGAGAACGAGAGACCCGAUAGACAGCGAUGACAGCUGUUCACGGCACCGACACAGAGGACAUAUUGCAGUGCAAGAUGGGAGCGGUCUUCCUGCAAGCCCAGACAAGCCAUAUUGAGUGGUUUCAAAUACAGCAACUGUACCACCACGACAGUGCAGCACAAGAGACCCUAUCGUCAGUGCUGAGCCAGAAAUUAAAUAGAAAAGCGCUUUCUCCUGAAAUCUUUCGUCUGGUCUUAUUUCGUUUGUUUGUGAUUGUAAAAGAGCGCUUUCAUAGGAAAUACAAAA